rnacentral:rRNA from 1 species
GACGUAGGGCGCGAGCGUUGUCCGGAUUUAUUGGGCGUAAAGAGCUCGUAGGCGGCUUGUCGCGUCGACUGUGAAAUCCCGCGGCUCAACCGCGGGUCUGCAGUCGAUACGGGCAGGCUAGAGUUCGGUAGGGGAGACUGGAAUUCCUGGUGUAGCGGUGAAAUGCGCAGAUAUCAGGAGGAACACCGAUGGCGAAGGCAGGUCUCUGGGCCGAUACUGACGCUGAGGAGCGAAAGCGUGGGGAGCGAACAG